rnacentral:rRNA from 1 species
CCUACGGGUGGCAGCAGUGAGGAAUAUUGGUCAAUGGGAGAGAUCCUGAACCAGCCAAGCCGCGUGAGGGAAGACGGCCCUAUGGGUUGUAAACCUCUUUUGUCGGAGAACAAAACCCGGGCCGAGUCCCGGACUGCGUGUAUCCGCAGAAAAAGCAUCGGCUAACCCCGUGCCAGCAGCCCCGGUAAUACGGGGGCUGCGAGCGUUAUCCGGUUUUAUUGGGUUUAAGGGGUGCGUAGGCGGUCGGUUAAGUCAGCGGUAAAAUCGCGGGGCACACCCCCGUAGAGCCGUUGAAACUGGCAGACUGGAGUGGGCGAGAAGUACGCGGAAUGCGCGGUGUAGCGGUGAAAUGCAUAGAUAUCGCGCAGAACUCCGAUUGCGAAGGCAGCGUACCGGCGCCAGACUGACGCUGAGGCACGAAAGCGUGGGGAUCGAACAGGAUUAGAUACCCCAGUAGUC